AGUGAACGCUGGCGGUAGGCCUAACACAUGCAAGUCGAACGGCAGCACAGUAAGAGCUUGCUCUUACGGGUGGCGAGUGGCGGACGGGUGAGGAAUACAUCGGAAUCUACUUUUUCGUGGGGGAUAACGUAGGGAAACUUACGCUAAUACCGCAUACGACCUACGGGUGAAAGCAGGGGAUCUUCGGACCUUGCGCGAUUGAAUGAGCGGAUGUCGGAUUAGCUAGUUGGCGGGGUAAAGGCCCGCCAAGGCGACGAUCCGUAGCUGGUCUGAGAGGAUGAUCAGCCACACUGGAACUGAGACACGGUCCAGACUCCUACGGGAGGCAGCAGUGGGGAAUAUUGGACAAUGGGCGCAAGCCUGAUCCAGCCAUACCGCGUGGGUGAAGAAGGCCUUCGGGUUGUAAAGCCCUUUUGUUGGGAAAGAAAAGCAGCAGGUUAAUACCCCGCUGUUCUGACGGUACCCAAAGAAUAAGCACCGGCUAACUUCGUG
rnacentral:rRNA from 1 species